AGCGGGAAUUCUUCUAGUCAAAAUACAAAAUUAGAACCCCAAAAUUGUCGUUGAAGUUUGAAAGGCGGUUUCGACAGAAGCUAAACGAGAGCGGUGAACAAGAAACGAGUAUCGAUUUGAACUGAGGAAUGACGAUUACAGCAUUAGGAGCUAAACGAGUGAAGAGGAGCAAGAAACGCAACGAUCCGGUGCACUCUACCAGCAUAAAUCCAGGGGUUGCUGAUGAUAACAAACAAACCUCGCAAGUUAAAGUUAAAUAAAAAG